AGAGUUUGAUCCUGGCUCAGGACGAACGCUGGCGGCGUGCUUAACACAUGCAAGUCGAACGAUGAAGCCUUUCGGGGUGGAUUAGUGGCGAACGGGUGAGUAACACGUGGGCAAUCUGCCCUUCACUCUGGGACAAGCCCUGGAAACGGGGUCUAAUACCGGAUAAUACUUUCCUCCGCAUGGGGGAGGGUUGAAAGCUCCGGCGGUGAAGGAUGAGCCCGCGGCCUAUCAGCUUGUUGGUGGGGUGAUGGCCUACCAAGGCGACGACGGGUAGCCGGCCUGAGAGGGCGACCGGCCACACUGGGACUGAGACACGGCCCAGACUCCUACGGGAGGCAGCAGUGGGGAAUAUUGCACAAUGGGCGAAAGCCUGAUGCAGCGACGCCGCGUGAGGGAUGACGGCCUUCGGGUUGUAAACCUCUUCAGCAGGGAAGAAGCGCAAGUGAC
rnacentral:rRNA from 1 species